UGCAACUCUGUAUGUGAAAGUCUUCCGUCAAGACUACUCUGAACGAAACGCCCAAUGUUCAAGCAUCCAAAUUUCUCACCUUUAAAAAGUUCCAUCGCUGAACCAAUCAGGGACUUUUACAAGAACCUGAUCUAAGAAGGAUUUCAUCAAAAGCUUGCCCACCUUGGCUUUCUCCAAGGCAAAAUGCUAGCGAUGUUUCUGGAACCGUCUUAAAGAGCUUUGGAACUGCCGAGAGCGGACAGCAAGACCCCGAGGGUGUUGAGACUCCUCUGUGACCUAAUGUGGAGACCUGAUUUCUGCGGUUUCCAGGGACACUCACACGAACUUGAUCAAACUUAGUGCUCAUCAGCUCCCCAAAUUAUAAUUCUCCCUCAUGCAGUUACAUGUGAAAGUUUCAACCAUUUCAGUUACCUUUUAAAUAUUUUCAGUCAUUUUUCCUAUACGUUCCAUAACUUUAAAAUAAUUGGACCUUAUCAU
rnacentral:lncRNA from 1 species